rnacentral:rRNA from 1 species
AUGAAUCCUACCUCGGCGCCGGGGCCAGAUGGCCUCCCGGUUAAAUUCUUCCAGACCUUCUGGAAUGUGAUUAAACCUGAGAUCUUGGCCAUCUUCGAUGAGUUCUAUGUUAGGUCCAUCGACCUCGGGCUCCUCGACUAUGGGAUCAUUUCGCUCAUCCCCAAGGUGCCUGGAGCUUCCGACAUCCGACAGUUUUGUCCGAUCACGGUCAACAAUGUGAUUUUUUGGAUUCUGGCGAAAGGGUACGCCAAUAGGGUGACCCUACUUGCCGACCACAUAACCCACCCCAACCAGUCCGCCUUCAUUCAAGGGCGGUAUAUCCUAGAUGGGGUGCUAGUUCUUCAUGAAGUCCUCCACGAGGUCCGGUCUAAGCACCUCAAGGUGGUUUUCCUGAAGAUCAACUCCCAUAAGGCGUACGACACUGUUAGUUGGCCCUUCCUUCAGGAAGUUCUGCUCCGGAAAGGCUUUGACAACCGAUGGAUCACCAGAGUGAUGCAGAUGGUUUCCUACAGUCGCACUGCUGUGAACAUCAAUGGAGAGAUCGGCCCUUACUUCCCCACCCUCUGUGGGGUUAGAUAA